rnacentral:rRNA from 1 species
CUGGCGGCAGGCCUAACACAUGCAAGUCGAGCGCACUCUUCGGAGUGAGCGGCGGACGGGUUAGUAACGCGUGGGAACAUACCCUUUUCUACGGAAUAGCCUCGGGAAACUGAGAGUAAUACCGUAUACGCCCUUUUGGGGAAAGAUUUAUCGGUGAAGGAUUGGCCCGCGUUUGAUUAGAUAGUUGGUGGGGUAAUGGCCUACCAAGUCUACGAUCAAUAGCUGGUUUGAGAGGACGAUCAGCAACACUGGGACUGAGACACGGCCCAGACUCCUACGGGAGGCAGCAGUGGGGAAUCUUAGACAAUGGGCGCAAGCCUGAUCUAGCCAUGCCGCGUGAGUGACGAAGGCCUUAGGGUCGUAAAGCUCUUUCGCCAGGGAUGAUAAUGACAGUACCUGGUAAAGAAACCCCGGCUAACUCCGUGCCAGCAGCCGCGGUAAUACGGAGGGGGUUAGCGUUGUUCGGAAUUACUGGGCGUAAAGCGUACGUAGGCGGAUUGGAAAGUAUGGGGUGAAAUCCCAGGGCUCAACCCUGGAACUGCCCUGUAAACUAUCAGUCUAGAGUUCGAGAGAGGUGAGUGGAAUUCCAAGUGUAGAGGUGAAAUUCGUAGAUAUUUGGAGGAACACCAGUGGCGAAGGCGGCUCACUGGCUCGAUACUGACGCUGAGGUACGAAAGUGUGGGGAGCAAACAGGAUUAGAUACCCUGGUAGUCCACACCGUAAACGAUGAAUGCCAGACGUCGGGGGGCUUGCCCUUCGGUGUCACACCUAACGGAUUAAGCAUUCCGCCUGGGG